GAGGGGCGGGGGGCAGAGGGGGUGAGACAACUAGACAGGAAGACAGAUCCAGAUCGAUGUAAAAGAGGUGAAGAACCACCAUCGAACUUCGCAGCUGCAGAUUUCUUUUACUUGUUGUAAUUUCUUCUCACUUCAAAACCUCAUUACGCGCACUGAUCCUCCUGCUCGCCAAACUAAGAAGAUGCCCAAAUCUUCACCUUGCGUCUCCCUCUGGCUGGCAUCUUUGGCCUCUUUGGUGGUGCAAUCGGUGCUCUCUUCCUCCUACACUUCUUCCUCGGCAUAUCAGAGACCAGGGGCCAGUGCGAAGCGGCCGGGCUUCAUGGAGAGGACGCUGAUUCUCCUGGAUGUAAACACCCGCAGUCCGAUCAGAGUCCUUAACGAGAACUUCCUCUCUCUUCAGCUGGACCCCUCGAUCAUCAAAGACGGCUGGCUGGACUUUCUGAGCUCCAAGCGGCUCGUGACCCUGGCGCGCGGCCUGUCGCCCGCCUUUCUCCGUUUUGGAGGAAAGAGGACCGACUACCUUCAGUUCAACAACCACAAGAACCUGGCUAAGUUCAGAGGACCGGGACCAGACUAUUACCUGAAGAACUACGAGGACGACAUUGUGCGCAGUGAUAUUGCAUUGGACAAACAGAAGGGCUGCAAAGUGGCCAACCAUCCUGAUAUAAUGCUGGAGCUACAGAGGGAGAAGGCUGCAACCACACAGCUCGUCCUGCUGAAAGAGCAACUGUCCAACAUCUACAGCAACAUUACAAUAACAGCCAGGUCUUUAGACAAACUUUACAACUUUGCCGACUGUGCCGGUCUGCACCUGAUCUUUGGGCUCAACGCGCUGCACAGAAACCCUGACAACUCCUGGAACACCUCCUCCACCCUGAGCCUCCUCAAGUACGGAGCCGGCAAGAAGUACAACAUCUCCUGGGAGCUGGGCAACGAGCCCAAUGCUUACCGCAGCAUGGUGGGUCGAGCGGUCAACAGCACCCAGUUAGCUCAGGACUACACCAAGCUGAGGACCCUGCUGCAGUCUGUGCGCUACUACCAUCGAGCUCACCUCUAUGGACCUAACGCGGGACGGCCGCGGAAGAAUGCCAUUCUGCUGCUGGACGGGUUCAUGAAGGAUGCCGGCUCUGUUGUAGACGCAGUUACGUGGCAACAUUACUACAUGGAUGGCAGAGUGAACAAAGUGGAGGAUUUCCUAAAAACUCGCUUGUUGGACACACUAACAGAGCAGAUCACUAAAGUCACCAAGGUUGUGAACACACAUACACCUGGUAAGAAGGUGUGGCUGGGUGGACUGGGGCCAGCGUGGGCAGGGGGCAUCAGUAAUCUCUCAGACACAUACGCUGCUGGCUUUCUAUGGGUAAACACUCUGGGUAUGGCUGCUCUGCAGGGGAUCGAUGUCGUCUUGCGUCACUCAUUCUUUGACUAUGGCUACACACAUCUUGUGGACCAGCAAUUUAACCCCUUACCUGAUUACUGGUUCUCUUUGGUCUUCAAGCGCCUGGUUGGUCCAAGGGUGUUGGCUGUUCGGGUGGCUGGACUACAGAGAAAACCGCAACCAGGACGAGUCAUACGAGACAAGCUACGUAUCUACGCCCAUUGUACCAGCUACUACAAUCAUAACUACGUGAGAGGGUCCAUAACGAUCUACAUCAUCAACCUGCAUCGAUCGAGGAAGAAAAUCAAGUUGGCGGGGACGUUACGGAACAACACUGUCCAUCAGUACCUGCUGCAACCCUUCGGUCCGGACGGACUCAGAGCCAAAUACGUCCAGCUGAACGGUGAGAAGCUGCUCAUGAUGGAUAAUGAGACGUUCCCUGAGCUGAAGCCAAAAACACUGAGGGCUGGACGGACAAUAGCCAUGCCUCCCAUGACCAUCGGCUUUUAUGUGGUCAAAAACAUAAACGCAUACGCCUGCAGGAGAUAACACUGACCCCCUUCAUCUCUGAGACAUAAGCGACAAAAAAACAUCAACCAUCUGCCAGUCUGACUUAAAAGCUUCAAACCACUCUAAUAAUCUUACUGGGGAAACACGCUCCAUCACCUCUGUUAAUAUAUUUGUUUUAAGCUCUUGUCAAUGGUGCAAUCCUCCACAGGUUUUUCAAUACUAAUAUUUAAACUGCUCUGAAAUAUUACACAUGAUCCUGGAUAUAGAUUUUCUUUUCCCUUUCUGCUCCAUCAAAGACAUACAGUACCUGCCCGAGUGACUUAAAAAGGGCUGCACUGAACACUUAGUCAAUUCUCUUCACCAGCAAUUCCUUAAGAUUUAAAGGUUUUAUUUUGUUUUUUUGUAGUAACAAAAUAGAAAUGUCAAAUGAGUCUACAAUCUUUAACCUGUUUAAGCUAUUUUCUUCUUCUUCUGGGUUUAUAUAUUUUUACUUUUGCACUCUCUUUCCCCCCUAAUCUUUCUCUGGGUGACGGACAAAACGUCUGAGAGAAAUCCUCUGAACAGGCGGUGAAUCUGAAGCUAACACAAGUCAACUUCAGUUUAGCUUGAUCCUUUCCACACAGAGAAAACGCUGCCGUGUGUUCAAGGUCAUUCCUGGACUUACCAAGAUCUGUGUGUGUACUGUGUGUGUGUGUGCGUGUGUGUGUGUGUGUGUGUGUUCUACUGAUAAAGCUACUGAUGUGUGUGUCCAGUCUGUUGAACGGGCCUCUGAAAUGUUUCUUUCCUUGCUGUAUCAAGUUGUUUAAAGCAGAAAUCAGUUUCUUUUCUGUUUCUGUGUGUUUUUUGUUUGUCACAUGUCCUCUGCUGCAGGUUUUAAUCAGCUCACCCACACAGUGCGAUGGCCAGGAUGUGUUGCUGGUGUUGAAGCUGAAGAACACAGUGAACCCAUCAUUAGCAUUCAUACUCACAUGGCUUUCAUCCUCACAGAGUCUGGGAUCGUUUUGGACUCAAAAACUCUGAAAAAGCAGUUCAUCAGGUGUAUUUGUCUCUCACUCUCUUCAGUGUGAUCUCACGUUCGAUUAUCUUCUUAUGCUGCUAGGUUUUUUUGUACUGAAUAUUCAUGAUAUAUUUGACAUUAUUUGUACAGAUUUACUACCAUUUAUUUUAAGAUAAUGUAUUGUACAUAAGAAGAGGGACUAAAAGAAGUGAUUUAAGCUUGUUAUGUUUGCUCACAUAAAGUACACCUUAUUUAUAUAAAAUAUACUUUGCUUUUCUUUCUUUCUUAUUUCUUUAUUAUCUUUCUAGACCACUGACGAGAGAAAACGUAGAAUUUCAAGAACAUUUUCAUUAAAUUACUGCGUGUCAACGUGUAAAGAUGCAAAUGUCAGUCGCAGACAGAAAGGGAAUUCAUGAGCCACGUUUCACAUCUGCCUUUUUUUUUUUAGAUUUUAUAGCUUAAUUUUUUAACCAGCCUUUUUCUUUUAAAGUGGGAUUUUUUUUGUUUUCCCUAGGACCACGGAGUAAGUUAAUUAUUUCCCUGGAAUGAUUUGGUCAUGUUGCUCAUUUUGAGCUUAUUCCUCCAACAACUUUUACACGUUUGAAAAUAAGCAGGAGCAGGUUAUGUGCCUGACCGUAUUAAAUAUAAUAAGUCAAUCCUCUGAAUGUGUUUAUAGUUAAAUUAGAGAUGUCUAUAUUUCUUUUGGAGAGCAUUAUUUUGAUAUGUAAAGUGUGCUUAUAUAUUAUUUUUUGUUAAGAAAAAGUUUACAUUGAUAAUAAACUCCUACAGAUACCUACAAAGUU